rnacentral:tRNA from 1 species
CAAAAAAUAGUUUAAUAAAAAUAUUAAUUUUGGGAAUUAUUGAUACAAUUUUUUUUGUUUUUUUGA